UCUGGCCUUCGGGUCCGAGUUGUAAUUUGUAGAGGAUGCUUUUGGUGAGGUACCUUCCGAGUUCCCUGGAACGGGACGCCAUAAAGGGUGAGAGCCCCGUCUGGUCGGAUACCGAUCCUCUGUAAAGCUCCUUCGACGAGUCGAGUAGUUUGGGAAUGCUGCUCUAAAUGGGAGGUAUAUGUCUUCUAAAGCUAAAUAUUGGCCAGAGACCGAUAGCGCACAAGUAGAGUGAUCGAAAGAUGAAAAGCACUUUGAAAAGAGAGUUAAAAAGUACGUGAAAUUGUUGAAAGGGAAGCGCUCAUGACCAGACUUGGGCUUGGUUGAUCAUCCAGGGUUCUCCCUGGUGCACUCUUCCAGCCCAGGCCAGCAUCAGUUCGCUGUGGGGGAUAAAGGCUUCGGGAAUGUGGCUCCUCCGGGAGUGUUAUAGCCCGCUGCGUAAUACCCUGUGGUGGACUGAGGUUCGCGCAUCUGCAAGGAUGCUGGCGUAAUGGUCAUCAGCGACCCGUCUUGAAACACGGACCAAGGAGUCGUCUUCGUAUGCGAGUGUUCGGGUGUUAAACCCCUACGCGUAAUGAAAGUGAACGCAGGUGAGAGCUUCGGCGCAUCAUCGACCGAUCCUGAUGUUCUCGGAUGGAUUUGAGUAAGAGCAUACGGGGCCGGACCCGAAAGAAGGUGAACUAUGCCUGUAUAGGGUGAAGCCAGAGGAAACUCUGGUGGAGGCUCGCAGCGGUUUUAACGUGCAGGUCGAUCGUCAAAUAUGGGC
rnacentral:rRNA from 1 species